UGGAAGAUUGAGAGGGGUUGCUCCUAGUACGAGAGGACCGGAGUGAACGCACCACUGGUGUUCGGGUUGUCAUGCCAAUGGCAUUGCCCGGUAGCUAAGUGCGGAAAAGAUAAGCGCUGAAAGCAUCUAAGCGCGAAACUUGCCUCAAGAUGAGUCUUCCCUUGGACUUUGAGUCCACUGAAGGAACGUUUAAGACUAAGACGUUGAUAGGCUGGGUGUGUAAGUGCAGCGAUGCAUUGAGCUAACCAGUACUAAUGAUCCGUGAGGCUUAACCUU
rnacentral:rRNA from 1 species